rnacentral:rRNA from 1 species
GUGAACGCUGGCGGCGUGUCUAAGGCAUGCAAGUCGAGCGAUCGCUUCUGUGAUUACAUCAAGGGAGCGGGAGCGGCAGACGGGUGCGGAACACAUUGGAAACCUACCUCGAGCACGUGUACAACUUCGCGAAAGCGGAGCUAAUGCACGAUAUGGAUGCGGGGACAUAAGUCAUUCGCAUUGAAAGCUUGGCCUUUACCGGCCUGGCGGAUCGAGAGGGUCCUAUGGCCUAUCAGCUUGUUGGUGAGGUAAUGGCUCACCAAGGCUAUGACGGGUAGGGGAUGCGAGAGCAUGAUCCCCCUCACUGGGACUGAGACACUGCCCAGACACCUACGGGUGGCUGCAGUCAAGAAUAUUCCUCAAUGCGCGAAAGCGUGAAGGAGCGACGCCGCGUGUCGGAUGAAGGCCUUCGGGUCGUAAACGACUUUUGUAGGGGACGAACAAACGACGGUACCCUAAGAAUAAGAGGUUGCUAACUCUGU